rnacentral:lncRNA from 1 species
GUGACUCAGGAUCAUGUUAUGAUUUAGUCCAUACUGAAUCCUUCUAUUUAUUUGGGUUAAGAAAAAGAGAAAGAAAAACUGAGCCUUUCUCUACCAUACAAAAACUCUUAAAUCUUAAAAUCAGAGUGGAGGCCAGUGUGUUUUUUUUUUUCAUUGCAUUGAGAAUGAUCAGAAGGAAAGAAAACAGCAAGUCUUAAAAUCUUUUCUUGUUUUGUACCAAGUUUGGAUUUUGUUUUUCCUUCACAUUUUCUUUGUUCUUUCCCCAGUUUCUUUGUUGUUCUCAGGAAGGCGAAAUAUUCUUCCAUUUUCAGCCCAGCAGAGUGGAAUUUAUACCCAAACAUCCUCAUCAGAUUGACAAAGCAUCCUGCAGGGACAUCAUGGAGCUCAUUUAAUCUCUGGGAGAGAACGGCACAGACCUCUGUGGCCGAAGUGCUGGCAUCAUCUGUCCACGCAUCCAGCAUCAGCCAGCUGAACAGGCAAAGUGGAGGAAGGGACCGGGUGACCAGCGUGCGCGGUACAGAGAAGCCCAAGUGAGGGCCCAGGGAGCAGCCGCGGUGUGUCCCCAGUGACCUCGUCUCUGCGAAGAUCACACGCAGAGCUGCCCAACACGUGGCCGGGUAAGUGGCAAUCCCAUCCAGAUUGCCAGAGGCAGAGAGGCUGGGGAGUACACACUGGAAAGCUCCAGAGA